AGAGCUGUAGCCGCUUGAGAGGAAGGACUGGAUGUAAUCCUGCAGCCCCAGCGAGUCGAGCCAGGCAGGGACGGAUGGCUGGCUGUUCCCAUCACAGCCCAGGGGCUUCAGCUUUGGCAGCGAGCGAGCUGCCUGCAGGAGCUUCCGGCGGUGCUGCGGGUCUCCGAUCCCAAUGUCCCGAAGGUCCUGGUCCUCCAUGACAUUACAGCCCAGGAAGCGGACAUCAUCA
rnacentral:lncRNA from 1 species